rnacentral:lncRNA from 1 species
GGAUGACGAAGAGAUGGCAAUGAUAGCUAAAAGGUUCAAGAAAUUCAUGAGGAGAAGAAAGAAGUUUGAACCAAAGAGAAGGUAUAACAAGGGAGAAGGUAGCAAGGAGAAAGAAAAAUAAAGAGAGAAAGAACAACCUUUUUGCUAUGAGUAUAAGAAGUUGGGACAUUUUCGGAUGGAUUGCCCAUUAUUGAAGAAAAGCUCCAUGA